AUUGAACGCUGGCGGCAGGCCUAACACAUGCAAGUCGAACGAGAGGCGGACGGGCGAGUGAUGUAUGAGAACCUGCCUGAUGGAGGGGUAUAACUACUGGAAACGGUAGCUAAUACCGCAUACCACCAUUUGUGCCCUGAUGGGAUGAGCUAGUUGGUGGGGUAACGGCUAACCAAGGCGACGAUCCCUAGCUGGUCUGAGAGGAUGACCGGCCACACUGGAACGGAUACACGGCCCAGACUCCUACGGGAGGCAGCAGUGGGGAAUAUUGCACAAUGGGCGAAAGCCUGACGCAGCCAUGCCGCGUGUGUGAAGAAGGUCUUCGGGUUGUAAAGUACUGUCAGCGGGGAGGCGGUACCCGCAGAAGAAGCACCGGCUAACUCCGUGCCAGCAGCCGCGGUAAUUC
rnacentral:rRNA from 1 species